UACGAGGGGGGCAAGCGUUGUUCGGAAUUAUUGGGCGUAAAGGGUGCGUAGGCGGUUUUGUAAGUCUUGUGUGAAAUCUUCAGGCUCAACUUGAAGACUGCACGAGAAACUGCAGGGCUUGAGCGUGGGAGAGGUGAGUGGAAUUCCUGGUGUAGCGGUGAAAUGCGUAGAUAUCAGGAGGAACACCUGUGGCGAAAGCGGCUCACUGGACCACAACUGACGCUGGAUGCACGAAAGCUAGGGGAGCAAACAGG
rnacentral:rRNA from 1 species